AUGCUUAGGAAUCUGCCUAUUAGUGGGGGACAACAUUCCGAAAGGAAUGCUAAUACCGCAUACGUCCUACGGGAGAAAGCAGGGGACCUUCGGGCCUUGCGCUAAUAGAUGAGCCUAAGUCGGAUUAGCUAGUUGGUGGGGUAAAGGCCUACCAAGGCGACGAUCUGUAGCGGGUCUGAGAGGAUGAUCCGCCACACUGGGACUGAGACACGGCCCAGACUCCUACGGGAGGCAGCAGUGGGGAAUAUUGGACAAUGGGGGGAACCCUGAUCCAGCCAUGCCGCGUGUGUGAAGAAGGCCUUAUGGUUGUAAAGCACUUUAAGCGAGGAGGAGGCUACUAGUAUUAAUACUACUGGAUAGUGGACGUUACUCGCAGAAUAAGCACCGGCUAACUCUGUGCCAGCAGCCGCGGUAAUACAGAGGGUGCGAGCGUUAAUCGGAUUUACUGGGCGUAAAGCGUGCGUAGGCGGCCAUUUAAGUCAAAUGUGAAAUCCCCGAGCUUAACUUGGGAAUUGCAUUCGAUACUGGAUGGCUAGAGUAUGGGAGAGGAUGGUAGAAUUCCAGGUGUAGCGGUGAAAUGCGUAGAGAUCUGGAGGAAUACCGAUGGCGAAAGGCAGCCAUCUGGCCCUAAUACUGACGCUGAGGUACGAAAGCAUGGGGGAGCAAACAGGAUUAGAUACCCC
rnacentral:rRNA from 1 species